rnacentral:rRNA from 1 species
UACGGAGGGAGCUAGCGUUGUUCGGAAUCACUGGGCUUAAAGCGUGUGUAGGCGGAUGCCUAAGUACCUUGUGAAAUCCCACGGCUCACCCGUGGAACCGCUGGGUAUACUGGGCAUCUUGGGCCAUUCAGGGGCAACUGGAACAAGCGGUGGAGCGGUGAAAUGCGUAGAUAUCGCUUGGAACGCCGACGGUGAAAACAGGUUGCUGGGAAUGUGCCGACGCUGAGACACGAAAGCCAGGGGAGCAAACGGG